UAUCCCCAGUCAUCUUAAUAAGGUGUGUUCCCACAUUCAAUGAUUUAGCCUAACAUAAUUCUUGAAAUCCUUAAGAGUCUACCUUACUAUAUGAGUUUUGGAUUGUUGGCUAAUUUAUUUUGUUGGGGGAGUUUCUUUGAGAUGCAUGUGUUUUGGCAACAUUCUUGCUGGUUGUUUUUAUCAUUUUCAUACACCAAUGUUGCCUUCCUAAGCCUUAUCUCGAUUGAUUUGCUCUCUUUUGUUCUUGCUGUGUCUAUGAGGUUGUUGGUCUUUUGAUGCCACCUCAAAUUUAGACAUGCGUGACUAGUGCAUUUCAUAGUCCACUCUCUUCUCCUUGUGCUUGUUGGAAGCUAUGUUGUGUUUUUUGGACAACCUAGAGACUUAUUUCUUGUAUUCUUUCUCACAUGUCCUCAAUUUUGAGCAAAAAUUUAGGGUUCAUCUUGCAUGGUGCUUUCUUCAAAUUUGACAUUGAUUGAUGCCUUAAAUUUUGAUAUUUUGGUGCUUUGUCUUGAUUUUGCACUAUGGUGUGUAAAGAAAAAUUCAUUGGUUGUCCCUUGUUUUGAUAAAUAUGUUGCUUAAACUCUGUCUUUUUAGGGGAGUUUCUUUAUGUGUAAUGUGUACACAUUGAGCCACUUGAUUUUAAUUGCUUUAGGUAUGAUUCCUUGCAACUUGUGCUCCAUUUCUUAUUCUUUUUAGCCUGAUGCAUUUUUGUGUUUGUUGGCUAUUUAUGGAAAGUUUGCUGAAUCAGUACGUCAAAGGUUAAUUCUUUUAUGCUAUAUGAUACUCAGGGGGAGUAUGUUUUCCAAGGGGGCGUUUUGCUUUAGGGGGAGUUUCUAUUUGUGUAGUGGUUUUAAUCUUGUACCCUCUGUAGGUUGAUAGGGGGGAGUUGUCUUGUAUUGUUUUGAACAAAUGUUGUUUGUGCUUUGUAAUCAAACUGUGUCAUGUGCAUAUUGUUCAAAUCUGAUUAUGUGACUUGUGUUUAAUUAACUUGAUUACUGUUUCUCUAUAUUUGCCUUUUUGCUCUUUCCUUAUCAACAAGGGAGAGAACACUCUCAACCCCAUAUUGCACAUAUUCACAUAUUGCAUAUUGCUUCAAAUUUCUGUGAUAUAAUAUGCUUGUCUUGUGCCUGGGAGUUUGGUCGUUGUUUUGCAGGUACUUCAUUUAAUCAUCUCCCUAGGUUCGAUUUUGGGUUGAGUGUAUUUAGAGAGUGUGUUGUCAAGGAAAGCCAAAAAGGGGGAGAUUGUUAAUGUAUGCAUUUUGAGUUAUUUCUUUUGGCUUCCCUUGACAAUUUUGUAAUAGGAUUUUUAUUGUUUUUAUCAAGCUCAAGCUUAGUUUAAGAAUAGCUUCUCUAGGUGUUCUUAAACUAACAUCUAUCCUAUGGAGGUUCAAGCAAUUUGACAAAGGUAAGUAUGCAUUGCAUAUCAUGGCAUUAAAACUGUU
rnacentral:lncRNA from 1 species